rnacentral:lncRNA from 1 species
GCUAUUUAAUCCACCAUUUUCUACAUUUGAAAAUGCCUGUACCAAGUCAGGAAUAUGACAGUUCAUGUCCAUUUGUUUUUGAUGCGUUUUGUUAUUUGAUUUUGCCAUGUGAUUAUGGACUUUCCGAAUUGAUUUUCCUCUAAGUUCAGUAUUUUUGUGAUUUUACUUUUUGCAAGUGAUUCCAGUGAAAAAAAAAUGGUCACUUUAAAGAUUUUCUUUCUGGAAGUUACGAUUAUAAAAUCACAAUUGUUAUGUGAAAUUAUUACAUAAAGUCAAGAUAUCUUUACUAUUUUGCUAUUAGAAAAAUCAUGUAAAGGUACCUUCAAUUUUAUUUUUUUGUUUAAUGGUGC